ACGCUGGCGGCAUGCCUAACACAUGCAAGUCGAACGAGAUUUUCGGAUCUAGUGGCGCACGGGUGAGUAACGCGUGGGAACCUACCUUUUAGUUCGGGACAACGUUUGGAAACGAACGCUAAUACCGUAUACGCCCUCCGGGGGAAAGGUCAGCCGCUGAAAGAGGGGCCCGCGUCUGAUUAGCUUGUUGGUAAGGUAAUGGCUUACCAAGGCUACGAUCAGUAGCUGGUCUGAGAGGAUGAUCAGCCACACUGGGACUGAGACACGGCCCAGACUCCUACGGGAGGCAGCAGUGGGGAAUAUUGGACAAUGGAGGCAACUCUGAUCCAGCAAUGCCGCGUGUGUGAUGAAGGCCCUAGGGUUGUAAAGCACUUUCAACGGUGAAGAUGAUGACGGUAGCCGUAGAAGAAGCCCCGGCUAACUUCGUGCCAGCAGCCGCGGUAAUACGAAGGGGGCGAGCGUUAUUCGGAAUUAUUGGGCGUAAAGGGCUCGCAGGCUGCUUGAACAGUUAGACGUGAAAUCCCCGGGCUCAACCUGGGAACUGCGUUUAAUACUAGCAAGCUAGAGAGAUAGAGAGGAAAGUGGAACUCCCAGUGUAGAGGUGAAAUUCGUAGAUAUUGGGAAGAACACCAGUGGCGAAAGCGACUUUCUGGCUAUUUUCUGACGCUGAGGAGCGAAAGCGUGGGGAGCAAACAGGAUUAGAUACCCUGGUAGUCCACGCCGUAAACGAUGUGUGCUAGAUGUUGGGAGGUUACCUUUCAGUGUCGUAGCUAACGCACUAAGCACACCGCCUGGGAAGUACGGUCGC
rnacentral:rRNA from 1 species